AGAAGUUAGAGGUAACAUCCAUUUUCUAUUUCUUCAAGACUGGACAUAUUGUUGGACGUCAUGACAAACGUUCAGACGCCAACUGGUUUGGCGAGCCCGGUGGCACAGAGAGCAACUCUUCCCCGUCGCCAUUCAAGCGUUUGUCGGAACUUAUUUGGACCCAUCGACCAUGACGCGCUGAACCGCGAGUUGAAGGCGACGCUGAGGGAAAUCUCUGAGCAAGACCAGCGUCGAUGGAAUUUCCACUUCGAGACAGACACACCAAUUCCCGGGAUUUAUGAAUGGGAAGGAAUGUCAGCGGAGUCGAUGCCUGCCUUCUACCAGGAGUCAGAAGUUGGCGCACGCAGAUUUGUUCCCAAUGAGGAGAAGAAAUGAGAUGACUAGCCCCCAGCACAAUUCUUCACUCAAUUCCCCUUGAACGCCACGCAAAGAGGGAACCGUUCGAUUAACCACGUUGACAAAUGCUACCAUCUGCCGCUUCUGCAGUUUAUAUUUUCAUCUCGGACAAAAGAUGGAGUAACCCUCCCAAAUAAGGCAACAUUUAUUUAAAAAACUAAUUCAACUAACUUGUGUUAAUUUAUUACGUGUCUGAGAUUGUUUUAAAUGAUAUCUGUGAAAGACGAUUUAUUUGCAAUUCUGCUCACUGUAUUGAUUAGUGAGCCCUCAAUGAUACUUAAGGCUAAUUUGCUACGUAGGUCAUCUGCCUCUUUUGCAUUUUUCGGUCGGACAAAAGAUGUUAACCCACAAAUGUUGGCCUAGGUUUUUUGCCGAAGUAACAAUGUCUAAUUGUAUUUAAAAUAUUUUAUUUUAUUUCAACUAACUUAUGUUUUAAUUCAACUAAGUUUUCUGCGAUUGUUUAAAUGGUAGCUGGGGAAACUUAUUAAAACAAUGUAGUUUUCA